UACACUAUGUACUAUACUCUAUGCCCUAUGCACUAUACAAUAUAGAUAUACACUAUGUACUACACACUAUACACUAUGUAUUAUACACUAUGCAGUCUUGCACAUUAUAGAUUGUUUGCCAGGUCUACUGUGCCCAACAAGUCUGCAAUUAGCUGAGCGUGCCAGAAGUAGGCCAUAGCAGCCAUGAUUCCAAACGUUCAAAAAAAAUGCUACUUUGGCAAAAUUGAGCAAAAUUCACAAAACGUUGAUGCAAAAGUCACGGCCAAACACCUCCA